rfam:Capsicum annuum cultivar Zunla-1 chromosome 8, whole genome shotgun sequence
UAUUGGUGGUGUGGACAAUCCCGAAGAAGAACUUUAAAGCGUUCCCAAGCAUGAUAGAGAUUUUCAUCUGGCUUCUGUUUGAAGCUCACAAUCUUACUACGAAGACU